AGAGGAAGAGAGGAAGCAGGAGAGAGUUUUAGGUCUUUUGGAAUGGGGACAGCAUAUAUGUAAGAUGUAGCUGCUAGAGUUUCCCGGUAUCAUGGCGGAUGUGUAAGGAUUCGCCACCAGAGGAAUCAGAUUUUAAUAAGGCUUACAAGAUUAGGUUUUAGUUGUUGUGCCCAGAGAUUGAGUUACCAUUGUUUCUGAACUAAGUUUGUGUUGGCUUUCCCUUCACACAGUGGGGGCGGCUCAUCUGGGUUCAAGAGAGAAAGGUAUCCUGUAAAGCAUGGGUGUGCUAAAUGUGCAACACAAAGGUUGUGGGGGAUUUGAAGCACAGGUGGGCUUGGGUUCAGACUACAAACUGCUUCUGUGUGACUAAGAGAAGAAGAAUCAGAGUAAAGAGAAACAUACUCUCUUAAUCUCCGAAGAUUAACGGCAGGAGGAGCUCUAGAAUUUCACAAAGGUGCUGUCAGGACACAUGAAAAUCUAGAGAAAAAGACCAGCUUGAAGAGACCAAAAAGAAGAAAGCCUGCCAAUCACAUCCUCCAGAGAUUCUGAGACACACACACCCCUGGUGUAGGGGGACACCAUCUGAAAGGUGACACCCAUUCUACGGAAUAUAAGUACCAGCUAAAGAGGACACACACUUGAAGAAAAAGGAGACAAUGAGGUCUUGUGAAUGCUCUAAUUUUUCAAAGCUUACUUUUAAUGAUGGUUCUUAAACGCUUUAACCUCCCUUCUAGUCCACCACCCACCAAAGGUAGUGAAAAGAAAGGUGAUUAGGAUACAGGCGAAGUGAACCUGUUCAGACAUGGUUCUUUGGUGCACAACCUAGCAGGAACAUCCAGGUCUCAGUGGAAUCAGCUCAAAUCAGCAUGAAGAAUUAGGACCAUUAGGAGUUCCAGGAGAAGCUCUCAGCUCUGCCUCUCUGGACAAAUCGAUGAUCAGGAAAGACAAAAGCGCGAGAAGCGUUGCAGAGUUAGCUGUACAAGCUAGCCUCUCUCACGGUCUGUUGAGUCCUAUUUAUACUCCCUCCAAACAUCACAUGUCCUCCAUGGGUCUUGCCUCACCGUGUGUCUUACCUCAGCACAUGAAUCUGUCUCAGCUGAUAUCGCUCUGCUAAGCGACCAAGUCGGCAGAAGAGGCAAGAAGCCACCAGCCAUCACCAGAAGGUUUUUGGUGCAUUUCUCUCUGUGGAGUGUCAACAAAUGAAGAUCAACUACACAAUGAAAACACUCCUUCCUGUGUGUGCCCCAGCAAAGCACAAUUCAAUGAAACUGACUUUCUAAAGAAACCAAAAGUUGGGGCUGGAGAGAUGGCUCAGUGGUUAAGAGCACUGACUGCUCUUCAAGAUGUCCUGAGUUCAAUUCCCAGCAACCACAUGGUGGCUCACAACGAUCCAUAAUGAGAUCCAAUGCCCCCUUCUGGUGUAUCUGAAGACAGCUACAGUGUACUCACAUACAUAAAAUAAAUAAAAUCUUGAAAAAAGAAAAAAGAAAGAAAGAAGCUAGAAGUUUCCACUUGAA
rnacentral:lncRNA from 1 species